rfam:Dipodomys ordii contig_45302, whole genome shotgun sequence.
GGUGGCUCAACAGUAGAGUGCAUGCCUUGCAUGCAUGAGGCCCUGGGUUUGAUUCCUCAGCACCA